rnacentral:rRNA from 1 species
GAUGAACGCUGGCGGCGUGCCUAAUACAUGCAAGUCGAGCGAACAGACGAGGAGCUUGCUCCUCUGACGUUAGCGGCGGACGGGUGAGUAACACGUGGAUAACCUACCUAUAAGACUGGGAUAACUUCGGGAAACCGGAGCUAAUACCGGAUAAUAUAUUGAACCGCAUGGUUCAAUAGUGAAAGACGGUUUUGCUGUCACUUAUAGAUGGAUCCGCGCCGCAUUAGCUAGUUGGUAAGGUAACGGCUUACCAAGGCGACGAUGCGUAGCCGACCUGCGAGGGUGAUCGGCCAAACUGGAACUGAGACACGGUCCAGACUCCUACGGGAGGCAGCAGUAGGGAAUCUUCCGCAAUGGGCGAAAGCCUGACGGAGCAACGCCGCGUGAGUGAUGAAGGUCUUCGGAUCGUAAAACUCUGUUAUUAGGGAAGAACAAAUGUGUAAGUAACUAUGCACGUCUUGACGGUACCUAAUCAGAAAGCCACGGCUAACUACGUG